rnacentral:rRNA from 1 species
GGUGACCUGCGGAAGGAUCAUUAUUGAAAUAAACCUGAUGAGUUGUUGCUGGUUCUCUAGGGAGCAUGUGCACGCUUGUCAUCUUUAUAUCUCCACCUGUGCACCUUUUGUAGACCUGAAUAUUCUUUCUGAAUGCUAGGCAAUUCAGGUUUGGGGAUUGACUUUGUCUUUCCUUACAUUUUCGGGUCUAUGUUUCUUCAUAUACCCAAUGUAUGUUAUGGAAUGUAAUAAACGGGCCUUUGUGCCUAUAAACCUAUACAACUUUCAGCAACGGAUCUCUUGGCUCUCGCAUCGAUGAAGAACGCAGCGAAAUGCGAUAAGUAAUGUGAAUUGCAGAAUUCAGUGAAUCAUCGAAUCUUUGAACGCCCCUUGCGCUCCUUGGUAUUCCGAGGAGCAUGCCUGUUUGAGUGUCAUUAAUAUAUAUCAUCCUCCUCAGGCUUUGCUUGUUGAGUGUUGGAUGUGGGGGUAUAUUUUUUGCUGGUUUCUUUCUGAAAUCAGCUCCCCUAAAAUGCAUUAGCGGAACAAUUUGUUGACCGUUCAUUGGUGUGAUAACUAUCUACGCUAUUGACGUGAAGCAGGGUUCAGCUUCUAACAGUCCAUUGACUGGGACAAAAUUUCAUCAANGNGCCU